rnacentral:rRNA from 1 species
CGGUCCAGACUCCUACGGGAGGCAGCAGUGGGGAAUAUUGAACAAUGGGCGCAAGCCUGAUGCAGCCAUGCCGCGUGUAUGAAGAAGGCCCUCGGGUUGUAAAGUACUUUCAGCGAGGAGGAAGGCAUUAAGGUUAAUAACCUUAGUGAUUGACGUUACUCGCAGAAGAAGCACCGGCUAACUCCGUGCCAGCAGCCGCGGUAA